rnacentral:tRNA from 2 species
UUUAAUUGAAGCCAAAAAGAGGCUUAUCACUGUUAAUGAUAGAAUUGAGAUUUAUACUCCAAUUAAAG